AUUGAACGCUGGCGGCAUGCUUUACACAUGCAAGUCGAACGGUAACAGGGCCUUCGGGCGCUGACGAGUGGCGAACGGGUGAGUAAUGCAUCGGAACGUGCCCAGAGGUGGGGGAUAACGCAGCGAAAGCUGUGCUAAUACCGCAUAUUAUCUGAGGAUGAAAGCGGGGGACUAAGCAGCAAUGUUUGGCCUCGCGCCUUUGGAGCGGCCGAUGUCAGAUUAGGUAGUUGGUGGGGUAAAGGCCUACCAAGCCGACGAUCUGUAGCUGGUCUGAGAGGACGACCAGCCACACUGGGACUGAGACACGGCCCCAGACUCCUACGGGAGGCAGCAGUGGGGAAUUUUGGACAAUGGGCGCAAGCCUGAUCCAGCAAUGCCGCGUGCAGGAAGAAGGCCUUCGGGUUGUAAACUGCUUUUGUACGGAACGAAAAGGCUCUGGUUAAUACCUGGGGCUCAUGACGGUACCGUAAGAAUAAGCACCGGCUAACUACGUG
rnacentral:rRNA from 1 species